GCCUGGGUGGCUCAGUCGGUUGAGCGUCUGACUUCGGCUCAGGUCACGAUCUCAGGGUCCUGGGAUCAAACCCCGUGUGGGCU
rnacentral:tRNA from 1 species